GAUGAACGCUAGCGGCAGGCUUAAUACAUGCAAGUCGAGGGGCAGCGCAGUGUAGCAAUACAUGGGCGGCGACCGGCAAACGGGUGCGGAACACGUACGCAACCUUCCUUUAAGUGGGGGAUAGCCCAGGGAAACUUGGAUUAAUACCCCGUAAUAUUAUGAAGUGGCAUCACUUUAUACUUAUAGCUCCGGCGCUUAAAGAUGGGCGUGCGACUGAUUAGGUAGUUGGCGGGGUAACGGCCCACCAAGCCUGCGAUCAGUAACUGGUGUGAGAGCACGACCAGUCACACGGGCACUGAGACACGGGCCCGACUCCUACGGGAGGCAGCAGUAAGGAAUAUUGGUCAAUGGACGCAAGUCUGAACCAGCCAUGCCGCGUGGAGGAUGAAGGUCCUCCGGAUUGUAAACUUCUUUUAUUUGGGAAGAAACCCACUGUUUCUACGGUGGUUGACGGUACCAGAUGAAUAAGCACCGGCUAACUCCGUGCCAGCCGCCGCAGUAA
rnacentral:rRNA from 1 species